CCGCGCUGGGCCUUAAGGACCACCGGCCCUCUAUGUGUGCGCCUAUAGAUCUAUACGUACACACAGCCACAGCGCGGGGAAUCGGGGCUGCGGAGCCGUGCUGGGCGCAGCUGGGCCAGGCCUGCUCCCUCGCCCAGGGCGAGGCGCUGAUUAAUCUCCGUGUCUCCGGAAAAGGCGGGAAACGGGGACUUGAAAGCAAACAUCCCGAGGAAAGUCCCGGUUCCCGUGAGCUGAGUCGGAGGGCAGCGCUGGCUGAUGUGCCCGCACCGCUACCCAGGCAAAGCUCAAACAAACCCCCGCUUUUCAGGUAAAAACACGGAUCCCUUUGAAAGGAAGCCGCCCAACUAGCACUUAGACCCCAGGCCGCAAUGGAGAAAGUUCCAAUAACCACAAAAGUGUUUGAAUUUCGGGAGGAGAAACAUCGACAGACAGAAUUGCAGACAGCUGUGAGAUGCGAAGCGUAAUGAGAGCAGCAAAAGGACACGAUUAGCUGCUGUCACUUGAAGGCCAUGGCGGCUCCCCUGUAAACAGCUGAUGAAGGCUGGUGAGAGCUCACCUGCUCAGAGAUACGUACCGGGGAGGGGUCUGCAGGUUUGGGAGCGUUUGGUCAUUGGUUUCACAUAAAACCCCCACAAUGAAAGCCGUUUUCUCUUCUGUUGUGUGCAUCAAAGGCGCGUUGUGGAGAGCUCCAUGGCAGCGAGCUCACCCCCGAGGAACCGGCGGGCGAAACCCGGCUCUGAGCUCCUCCGCCCUUCCAAAGCUGUGCGUUUCCUACCCGCGCCCGCCGCCGCCGCUCAGCCCCAGCACAGCACUCCUGUCCUUUGGAAACGCGCACUGGAAACGAUGGAGCUCUGGCAGCUCGGCUGCACGCGCGGGCCCCCGCCCUCCGUGGGACUCACUCGUGGUGCUCACACUUGGCUGGGCUGUGUCAGCCCCACAUUCUGCUCAGCCACAGGGGCAGGGAAGAGGUUUUCAGGGGUUAAAUCACCUCUUUAAUCUCCAAGAAGGUCCCUCACAGCAGCUCUCAUUGCUAAUAUCUACGUCAAAAUAAACAGUCUCCCCUUCGACGCUGAGGUGGGACACUAAAAACCCGUUAUUUGGGAACGCCAGCCACGAACGCGCCCUGUGGGGCGGACGUGUGCUCUGAACGCACCGCUGGUUGUCGGCGCAGAAAACUGUCAAAUGCUGUGUGGCGCUCCAACGAGAAAACACUUUCACAUAGUACAAUUUUGUUAUUUUUCAAAACAGGAGAAGAAUCUGGCUUGCUUAAGCCGGCACCGGCGGCACACCAGCUUUGGUUCUGGAAGACUGAACUGCUUUCGAAAAUAUUUGUGCUUGCUAACGUAAUAUCAGAGCUCCCAAGCGCUCCGGGUGCUAUCCGGAGUACAUACCGGGAGCCUCCAUUCCCAAAGGGCGACCUCCCAGCCGCAAGGGAGGGGAGACCCCUGGGGUCCCGCAGUUUACUUCCUCAGUGGGUCUCUCCAGCCCUGCUGGUUUUGCUCACCUGGGGACACGCAGGGGCAGCCGGGGGUGUCUCUGGCUGCAGGAGGAGCUGGGGGCUCAGCACCCCCCGCCCCGCUCCGUGUCUUCCUGCUGACAUCCCCGAUAACAAACGUCGCACCCCUCCCCGAAAGCCCACAAAGAGCAGUGUGCUGUUUGUGUUCUCCCUGCAGUACUUAACACUUCUUUUAGAUUAAUUUAAUUUUAAUGUAAUCUGAUAAGAGCGGUAAAACUGUCAAAGAAA